GAUGAACGCUAGCGGCAGGCCUAAUACAUGCAAGUCAAGGGGCCAGUAAUGGCACCGGCGGACGGGUGCGUAACGCGUACACAACGUACCUUUGGGUGGGGAUAGCAUCGGGAAACUGGUGGUAAUACCCCAUGGUAUUGGAGACUGGCAUCAGUUUUCAAUUAAAGACUACGCCCAAAGAUCGGUGUGCGUCUGAUUAGCUAGUUGGUAGGUAACGGACCACCAAGGCGACGAUCAGUAGGGGUUCUGAGAGGAAGGUCCCCCACACUGGCACUGAGAUACGGGCCAGACUCCUACGGGAGGCAGCAGUAGGGAAUAUUGGGCAAUGGACGAGAGUCUGACCCAGCCAUGCCGCGUGCAGGAAGACGGCGUUCUGCGUUGUAAACUGCUUUUAUCUGGGAAGAAAAGGCCCAUGCGUGGGACAUUGCCGGUACCAGAUGAAUAAGCACCGGCUAACUCCGUG
rnacentral:rRNA from 1 species